UACUUAAUAACAGAAGUUAGGCUCAAAACGACCACAUUUGGCCCAUACAAGAUCCGCCUAAGCCCCAAAAGGUCUAAAUCAUAAAUAUAGGCCAAUGCCCACACCCUUACUUUAAAACUCCAUAACUUGCUCAAUUCUUUCUCUUUUUGAGAAAAAGUGUGCUUCACGUGUUCCUCCAGCAGGUAGCUAUCAUAUGGUUUUGGUUUGGGCUUUUUCCAAGUCCAAUUAGCACACUUAUGGCCCAAUAAAUCCUAAAAGGUCAAACAUUUCCUUCAUGUGCAUGUCUCUCAGUUUUGGCCUCAUUUCUCCCAAUUUAUUUUUUAUGGACAUUUUCUUCUUCAACACACUUCCUCUGUAAUAUCUUGGCUAGUCCUCAACCAAAUUAGAGUCUCAGAUUCUAAGUAUUUUAGUCUCGAGACCUAAAUCAAGCUAAAAGGGUCAAAAGAGCUCCUCAAGGGAUUUUCUCUCACCUGAGAGAUUUUCUCCCGAUUCAUCAUCCAAUAAUUUUUUCACUUUUUCAAAGCUUUUUUAUUACCUUUUAU
rnacentral:lncRNA from 1 species